CUCAAGUUCAAGAUUGAGGUCCAAAUAACUAAAUACACAUUCGGGAAAAAUAAUGGGCAAUGUCACUAAAAUUCAGAACAUUGAGAAAGGACAAAAGUUUUGGGCAAAAGGAUGGGACAGUAAUUUUUAAGACAAAGACAUAUGAAUCGCACCAGAGGAAAGACAAACAAAAACCAACGAGAAAUAUGCUGCUGGAAUGAACGAGGUCGUUUGUCAUUGAUUUCCAUGGAGCGUGGUGGACAUAGAUGCAACAAUACUCCAAAGCAGGACAUUUCCCCGCAUCCAGGUUAAGGCCUGCUACCAGCAGAAACAUGGAGCACCUCAU